rnacentral:rRNA from 1 species
CAGCAGCCACGGUAAUACAGAGGGUGCGAGCGUUAAUCGGAUUUACUGGGCGUAAAGCGUGCGUAGGCGGCUUUUUAAGUCGGAUGUGAAAUCCCUGAGCUUAACUUAGGAAUUGCAUUAGAUACUGGGAAGCUAGAGUAUGGGAGAGGAUGGUAGAAUUCCAGGUGUAGCGGUGAAAUGCGUAGAGAUCUGGAGGAAUACCGAUGGCGAAGGCAGCCAUCUGGCCUAAUACUGACGCUGAGGUACGAAAGCAUGGGGAGCAAACAGGAUUAGAUACCCCAGUAGUCCCUGUCUCUUAUAU